rnacentral:rRNA from 1 species
UACGGAGGCAGCAGUGGGGAAUAUUGCACAAUGGGCGCAAGCCUGAUGCAGCCAUGCCGCGUGUAUGAAAAAGGCCUUCGGGUUGUAAAGUACUUUCAGUCGUGAGGAAGGUGUUAAGGUUAAUAACCUUAGCAAUUGACGUUAGCGACAGAAGAAGCACCGGCUAACUCCGUGCCAGCAGCCGCGGUAAUACGGAGGGUGCGAGCGUUAAUCGGAAUUACUGGGCGUAAAGGGCACGCAGGCGGUUAAUUAAGUUGGAUGUGAAAUCCCCGGGCUUAACCUGGGAAUGGCAUUCAAGACUGGUUAGCUAGAGUCUUGUAGAGGGGGUAGAAUUCCAUGUGUAGCGGUGAAAUGCGUAGAGAUGUGGAGGAAUACCGGUGGCGAAGGCGGCCCCUGGACAAAGACUGACGCUCAUGUGCGAAAGCGUGGGGAGCAAACGAGGGAUUAGAUACC